GACGAACGCUGGCGGCGUGCUUAACACAUGCAAGUCGAACGGAAAGGCCCUGCUUUUGUGGGGUGCUCGAGUGGCGAACGGGUGAGUAACACGUGAGUAACCUGCCCUUGACUUUGGGAUAACUUCAGGAAACUGGGGCUAAUACCGGAUAGGAGCUCCUGCUGCAUGGUGGGGGUUGGAGAGUUUCGGCGGUUGGGGAUGGACUCGCGGCUUAUCAGCUUGUUGGUGGGGUAGUGGCUUACCAAGGCUUUGACGGGUAGCCGGCCUGAGAGGGUGACCGGCCACAUUGGGACUGAGAUACGGCCCAGACUCCUACGGGAGGCAGCAGUGGGGAAUAUUGCACAAUGGGCGGAAGCCUGAUGCAGCAACGCCGCGUGCGGGAUGACGGCCUUCGGGUUGUAAACCGCUUUCGCCUGUGACGAAGCGUGAGUGACGGUAAUGGGUAAAGAAGCACCGGCUAACUACGUGCCAGCAGCCGCGGUGAUACGUAGGGUGCGAGCGUUGUCCGGAUUUAUUGGGCGUAAAGGGCUCGUAGGUGGUUGAUCGCGUCGGAAGUGUAAUCUUGGGGCUUAACCCUGAGCGUGCUUUCGAUACGGGUUGACUUGAGGAAGGUAGGGGAGAAUGGAAUUCCUGGUGGAGCGGUGGAAUGCGCAGAUAUCAGGAGGAACACCAGUGGCGAAGGCGGUUCUCUGGGCCUUUCCUGACGCUGAGGAGCGAAAGCGUGGGGAGCGAACAGGCUUAGAUACCCUGGUAGUCCACGCUGUAAACGGUGGGUACUAGGUGUGGGGUCCAUUCCACGGGUUCCGUGCCGUAGCUAACGCUUUAAGUACCCCGCCUGGGGAGUACGGCCGCAAGGCUAAAACUCAAAGGAAUUGACGGGGCCCCGCACAAGCGGCGGAGCAUGCGGAUUAAUUCGAUGCAACGCGUAGAACCUUACCUGGGUUUGACAUGGAUCGGGAGCGCUCAGAGAUGGGUGUGCCUCUUUUGGGGUCGGUUCACAGGUGGUGCAUGGCUGUCGUCAGCUCGUGUCGUGAGAUGUUGGGUUAAGUCCCGCAACGAGCGCAACCCUUGUUCACUGUUGCCAGCACGUUAUGGUGGGGACUCAGUGGAGACCGCCGGGGUCAACUCGGAGGAAGGUGGGGAUGACGUCAAGUCAUCAUGCCCCUUAUGCCCAGGGCUUCACGCAUGCUACAAUGGCUGGUACAGAGAGUGGCGAGCCUGUGAGGGUGAGCGAAUCUCGGAAAGCCGGUCUCAGUUCGGAUUGGGGUCUGCAACUCGACCUCAUGAAGUCGGAGUCGCUAGUAAUCGCAGAUCAGCAACGCUGCGGUGAAUACGUUCCCGGG
rnacentral:rRNA from 1 species